rnacentral:rRNA from 1 species
AGAGUUUGAUUAUGGCUCAGGAUUAACGCUGGCGGCAUGCCUAAUACAUGCAAGUCGAAUGGUUAGCUUGCUAACCAUGGCGAACGGGUGAGUAACACGUAGGUAACCUGUCUUCAAGACGAGGAUAACCAUUGGAAACGAUGGAUAAUACUGGAUAGGACAAAUCCCCGCAUGAGGAGAUGUUUAAAGGAGCAAUCCACUUGAUGAGGGGCCUGCGGUGCAUUAGUUAGUUGGUGAGGUAACGGCCCACCAAGACGAUGAUGCAUAGCCGGACUGAGAGGUUGAACGGCCACAAUGGAACUGAGAACGGUCCAUACUCCUACGGGAGGCAGCAGUAGGGAAUUUUCGGCAAUGGGCGGAAGCCUGAACCCGAGCAAUGCCGCGUGAAUGAAGAAGUAUUUCGGUAUGUAAAGUUCUUUUAUUUGGGAAGAAAAAACAAAUUGACGGUACCAAAUGAAUAAGCUCCGGCUAACUACGUGCCAGCAGCUGC